rnacentral:tRNA from 1 species
AGAAGCUUAAGAUAAUUAAACUAGGGGCCUUCAAAGCCCAAAAUAGGAGUUAAACUCCCCUAGCCUCUG